rnacentral:lncRNA from 1 species
GGCGGGGUGUCCGAGGCGGGGUGUUUGUGGAGCUCGGGCCCGGCUGUAGCUUCUCGGGCCGCGGGCGUGACCGCUGCUCGCCCCCCGCCAACAGCGCCGAGUGGACGGCGGAGCUUUGUUUGCGUCGGGCAGGGGCCUGCUGGUCUGCGGGGGUUUGGCUGCGCCCCCCGCCUUCGGCCGGCCGGGGAAGGGCGGCCCUGCAGGAGGAGGAGGCCCCGCAGGAGCAGGACGGCGCGGGGCCUGCACGGGCCGCGAAGCCGGGGAGUCGCGUGAGCGCCGCCCGCCGGGCCGGUCCUCACCGUGCGCCCAGGCCUCGGGGCUAGCGGUUCGGCUCGGGGUCCGCCGGGACGCGGCCCUAUGUUGUUCAUAUGAAAACGGAAUCUUCCUUUUACAUUUUGUAAUUGGGCAGUUUAUUUUUUCAGUUACCUGUUGCAAGGUGGUUAAAUAAACAUAUAUGUAAGUGCUCCCAGCUUUACAAAGAAAAAUCAAUUAAAAUGUUAAAAUUAUCUCCUUCGUUCAUAUGCAAUAUUCUUAGGAUAUCAUUAUGUUGAUGCUUUGAGUGUAUGUCAUCUUGCAUGUUUCCGUGAAUUGACCUGUGUUUAUUUGAACUCUCACCUUUUUGUAACAGUAUCCACUUUUCCUUUAAGAGUUGUUCAGGUAGUGUAUAACAGAGACAUUUAUACCCUUUGGUAUAGCUAAAUUGAGACACUGAUUGAAGCUAAUUAAGAAUUUUAACAUUUGUAAUAAAGUAUCAAAUACUGUCCUACUGUUGCUUAAAGCCCUAAACCUCUGGUAUCAGAUUUUGUUUACCUACCCCUACCAUCGUUCAAUUGAAUUCUCCAUAGAAAAAAUUUAAGCCAAGAGGCUGUAUCUGGAAAAAAGGAGAAAAUGUUAAGAAGAGUCUGACUUUAAAAAAAAAAAAAAAAAAAAAAAGUUUCACUGUUUGAAAACCUUAACUUGGACUUAACGUUGAAUUUUUUUACAGGUUGAUUAGAUUUUUGUAAUUUGAUUGGAGGUAGUAUAGCAACAUGAGUUUGAGGCCAGGUGACUUGUGUCUGAAUCUCACCUCUGUCAUUACUAGCAGAGUGAUCUUGGGCAAAUUAUUUAAACUUGCCAUGCCUGGUCUCGGUUUCCCCAUCUGAAAAACAAGGAGUUUAAUUGCUAUCCGUAUCUCUUACAUGAAGACUUUCAGUUACUUUGUUUCAGUGGCAUUGUCAAAAUGUCAGAACAAUUUAAAUCUGCUUCUGUACAGUGAUUCUGUGAAGAUCAGUAGUGAUCUGAAGGUUCUCCAUAUCAUCAGUGGUCUGUCUUCCUUUGGUCUUGAUUUUUGAAAUGUUUUUGUAUCCACAAGUUUAUAACAUAAAUGAGUACCGUGAUGAAAAUAGGCAUCAUAUAUUGUAUGUUUACCAAGUGUCAGCCAUUGUGCAAAGUUCUUUACGUACACUAUCCCACUUUUAAAAAUCAUACACAUGAUCAUCUUAAAAGCGUAGCAGUCUUCCUUUUAAUUGUGUAAGGUCCCACCU